GAACGAAGUAGCAAUACUUAGUGGCAGACGGGUGAGUAACAUGUAGGUAUCUACCCUUUGGCCUGGAAUAACACGAGGAAACUUGUGCUAAUACCGGAUAAGUCUUUACGGAGAAAGCUUUAUGCACCAUUGGAUGAGCCUGCACUUGAUUAGUUUGUUGGUAGGGUAAUGGCCUACCAAGACUGUGAUCAAUAGCUGAUUUGAGAGGAUGAUCAGCCACAUUGGGACUGAGACACGGCCCAAACUCCUACGGGAGGCAGCAGUGGGGAAUCUUGCACAAUGGAGGAAACUCUGAUGCAGCGAUGCCGCGUGAGUGAAGAAGGCCCUUGGGUUGUAAAGCUCUUUCGUCGGGGAAGAAAAUGACUGUACCCGAAUAAGAAGGUCCGGCUAACUUCGUGCCAGCAGCCGCGGUAAUACGAAGGGACCUAGCGUAGUUCGGAAUUACUGGGCUUAAAGAGUUCGUAGGUGGUUGAAAAAGUUGGUGGUGAAAUCCCAGAGCUUAACUCUGGAACUGCCAUCAAAACUUUUCAGCUAGAGUUUGAUAGAGGAAAGCAGAAUUUCUAGUGUAGAGGUGAAAUUCGUAGAUAUUAGAAAGAAUACCAAUUGCGAAGGCAGCUUUCUGGAUCAAUACUGACACUGAGGAACGAAAGCAUGGGUAGCGAAGAGGAUUAGAUACCCUCGUAGUCCAUGCCGUAAACGAUGUGUGUUAGACGUUGGAAAUUUAUUUUCAGUGUCGCAGCGAAAGCGAUAAACACACCACCUGGGGAGUACGACCGCAAGGUUAAAACUCAAAUGAAUUGACGGGGACCCGCACAAGUAGUGGAGCAUGUGGUUUAAUUCGAAGAUACGCGCAGAACCUUACCAACACUUGACAUGUUCGUCGCGACUCUAAGAGAUUAGAGUUUUCGGUUCGGCCGGACGAAACACAGGUGCUGCAUGGCUGUCGUCAGCUCGUGUCGUGAGAUGUUGGGUUAAGUCCCGCAACGAGCGCAACCCUCACUUUUAGUUGCCAUCAUUUAGUUGGG
rnacentral:rRNA from 1 species